rnacentral:rRNA from 1 species
CCUACGGGAGGCAGCAGUAGGGAAUCUUCCACAAUGGGCGAAAGCCUGAUGGCGCAACGCCGCGUGGGUGAAGAAGGUCUUCGGAUCGUAAAACCCUGUUGUUAGAGAAGAAAGUGCGUGAGAGUAACUGUUCACGUUUCGACGGUAUCUAACCAGAAAGCAACGGCUAACUACGUGCCAGCAGCCGCGGUACUACGUAGGUGGCAAGCGUUAUCCGGAUUUAUUUGGCGUAAAGGGAACGCGGGCGGUCUUUUAAGUCUGAUGUGAAAGCCUUCGGCUUAACCGGAGUAGUGCAUUGGAAACUGGGCGACUUGAGUGCAGAAGAGGAGAGUGGAACUCCAUGUAGAGCGGUGCAAUGCGUAGAGAUAUGGAAGAACACCAGUGGCGAAAGCGGCUCUCUGGUCUGUAACUGAAGCUGAGGUUCGAAAGCGUGGGUAGCAAACAGGAUUAGAUACCCUAGUAGUC